rnacentral:lncRNA from 1 species
CCCCUUGUUUAAAAUUGGUUACAAACGAAGAUUAGAAGAAGAUGACAUGUACUCCGUGCUUCCGGAAGAUCGCUCCCAGCACCUUGGAGAAGAACUACAAGGGUACUGGGAUCAAGAAGUUUUGAGAGCUGAGAAAGAUGCACGGGAGCCUUCUUUAAUGAAAGCAAUCUUAAAGUGUCACUGGAAAUCCUAUUUAGUUUUGGGAUUUUUUAUACUUCUUGAGGAAGCUACCAGAGUCGUUCAGCCCAUAUUUUUGGGGAAAAUGAUUAAUUAUGUUGAAAACUCCAAUCGCACGGAUUCUGCCGCUUUGCAGGGAGCCUACGGCUGCGCGGCAGGGCUGAGCGCCUGCGUGCUCGUGUGGGCCGUUCUGCACCACUUGUACUUCUAUCGCAUUCAGCGUGUGGGGAUGAGGCUGAGAGUAGCCGUGUGCCACAUGAUCUACCGCAAGGUGAGUGUCACUCGGUUCCACAGUGUGUACCCCCCCUGAA